UAAUAGCUCACUGGUCGAGUCGGCCUGCGCGGAAGAUGUAACGGGGCUAAACCAUGCACCGAAGCUGCGGCAGCGACACUAUGUGUUGUUGGGUAGGGGAGCGUUCUGUAAGCCUGUGAAGGUGGCCUGUGAGGGUUGCUGGAGGUAUCAGAAGUGCGAAUGCUGACAUAAGUAACGAUAAAGCGGGUGAAAAGCCCGCUCGCCGGAAGACCAAGGGUUCCUGUCCAACGUUAAUCGGGGCAGGGUGAGUCGACCCCUAAGGCGAGGCCGAAAGGCGUAGUCGAUGGGAAACAGGUUAAUAUUCCUGUACUUGGUGUUACUGCGAAGGGGGGACGGAGAAGGCUAUGUUGGCCGGGCGACGGUUGUCCCGGUUUAAGCGUGUAGGCUGGUUUUCCAGGCAAAUCCGGAAAACCAAGGCUGAGGCGUGAUGACGAGGCACUACGGUGCUGAAGCGACAAAUGCCCUGCUUCCAGGAAAAGCCUCUAAGCAUCAGGUAACAUCAAAUCGUACCCCAAACCGACACAGGUGGUC
rnacentral:rRNA from 1 species